rnacentral:rRNA from 1 species
UGCUCUGUGGGAUCAGUGGCGAACGGGUGAGUAACACGUGAGCAACCUGCCCCUGACUCUGGGAUAAGCGCUGGAAACGGCGUCUAAUACUGGAUAUGUGACGUGACCGCAUGGUCUGCGUUUGGAAAGAUUUUUCGGUUGGGGAUGGGCUCGCGGCCUAUCAGCUUGUUGGUGAGGUAAUGGCUCACCAAGGCGUCGACGGGUAGCCGGCCUGAGAGGGUGACCGGCCACACUGGGACUGAGACACGGCCCAGACUCCUACGGGAGGCAGCAGUGGGGAAUAUUGCACAAUGGGCGCAAGCCUGAUGCAGCAACGCCGCGUGAGGGAUGACGGCCUUCGGGUUGUAAACCUCUUUUAGCAGGGAAGAAGCGAAAGUGACGGUACCUGCAGAAAAAGCGCCGGCUAACUACGUGCCAGCAGCCGCGGUAAUACGUAGGGCGCAAGCGUUAUCCGGAAUUAUUGGGCGUAAAGAGCUCGUAGGCGGUUUGUCGCGUCUGCUGUGAAAUCCGGAGGCUCAACCUCCGGCCUGCAGUGGGUACGGGCAGACUAGAGUGCGGUAGGGGAGAUUGGAAUUCCUGGUGUAGCGGUGGAAUGCGCAGAUAUCAGGA